AGCACAGUUUAGGAACCGGAGGAGCAAGUGAGAGAGCCCUCGUGAAGGAACAGUAAAGUCGUGUUCCAAGCAACAGACUACAAUUCCAGUGCUUCACUGUUAACAUCGUACUUGACAAACUGCAAGGACCAUGUCAAGCUUAGCAUUGUAUUGUUGCUUUGGCCUUCAACUUCUGCUCUUGAUGCAAAGCGGGCAAGAGUGAGGUUCAGUUGGGAGUGAGAGAGUUUUCAACACUCAUGUCGACCGACGGAGGAGGACCCACAUGGCCACGAAGCGGAAGAUAUGUUGCUCCCACUCAUUCAGGAACUACACACCAGCUCGGAUUCACCUUCGCAGCAUGUAUUGCUUCCAGGCGACGCACGCUAAAUUGACCCACGUUUCCACGAGAUUGGACUCCAGGACCUGAAGUGAAGAGGAUGAUGAAGAUGUAGCAGUGUGUUUGCAAAUUUCUACCUCCAGCCUCGGUCUGGAGUUGCAGCACGUGUACAGGUGUGCAGUUAUUGCAAUGGCUUUGAGUUUUUUCCUCCAGAAACUAUGGAAUCUAUUCAGCUCGUGUUCCAAGAGACUUCAACUCGGAAACUCACUUGUGCUUACUGAAAUUGCUGUGUUGGUCAAGUCUACAGCUGCCCAAACAAUCAGACAUGGUGUGCUGCAUCGCUUUAUUAGGUUUCCUUGCUCUUCAUAGUAUGAAAUGUUGCAAGUGUCAUCGACAUAUGUCGAAAUAUGGGCGGUGGAUUGUUAGCUUUGACUUCGGACUUUGUCAAUCCACAAGUGUGACUUACAGCAGUCGUCGCUCUCCAACGUCCCAGUCGACUCGUCGGCGCCAGCUACUUUCGCUUCACUGACAUGCCACCAAACAUUCUAGUCCUCAUCUUCGGGGUGUUAUUCGGAUUCAAAGGGGCAGCCCCAAGAAGCUGAGGUGUGGAUCUCUACCCCGACAACUUGUAUCCUGUGCAUGCACCACGCACGCCCAUUAGUCAACCCAUGGCAUCCUCGGAGAAAACGACACAGGGGCCUCCGAUUGCUUUACAACAUGACGCGGUAUUCGAAGACCCUUUUCGCACACCGAAGCAGCAAAAUUUAUCUGAGGCAGCAUCGAUUUACUUCUGUUUGUGGCAACCAUCUGCCACGAUAACCCUCACAGCCUCCUCUCCUAGAACAGCAAAGUCCAAACCUCGUUUCAAAACGAAGUGUCUUGGAUCAACUUUUCACAUGAGUUACGUUUCCUGUAUAUGUAAACAUUGGGUUUCGUUGGCUUGAAAAGAAAUUUCAGAACUUGGGGAUGGUUUGUUGAGAUGGAGGAAGUACCCAUUGAGCAUGCACCAGAUGAAAGUAGCUCGCGGACAUUGCUAGACUCACGAAGCGCUCAGCAUGAUAUUUUUUAUGCAUACGAUCCCAAAUUUGGUUUUCCAGAUACAAAUCAGUCCCGAGGUGAUACAGUAGCCCCUUUUGCCUAUUAACAGGAAGUGACUUUGUGAUUCCGAAAUCGAACUUCUCUGCUGUAAUUUGAUCCUCAGAUCAAUUCAGAUACAGUAAAGUGAUCGGGCCCAUUUGCUUUUCCUUUCCAAUUUCUUAGAGUUUUCUUUGAUACAAAGUUUACGAUUGUGUUGUAAGUUAGAGCUGGUUUGGAGAUAUCUAAGUUGGAAGUUGGACGAGGACACAGUGCUGAAGAAGGUUUGGGUGGGAGAAUUCAUUCAUGCACUUCUUGAUGCCUUUUGAUGGACAGUGUAGGGGUGACGUGUGAGGGAACAAGAUUGCCAAAAGUGAUAUCGGGGACCGGGGAGUUGAGUGGGGAGACAUAUAAGUAGCCUCCGAUCAAGGCAGGUGCAGGUGAAGCUUUGCUGUUUGGAGCUCUGCCAAAAGGUCAAUGUAAGAACUAUUCAUUGGGUGUCGUACUUUGUCUUUCAAGGCAUGUUCUUGUUAGAAGCUAGUCUUUUCUGUCACUGGAAUAUUGAUGUUCAUGUUUUUCUGUCAUUUCAAAGGAGACAGAAACUUCAUGAAAUUUGAGAAUUGAAGGGCUUUCAGCGGAUAGCCUGGUUACUUUUGACAAGAGAAAUGUAUGCUGUAAAUCGCGUCGAACGGAAAGCCCAUGUUCGGGUUUUGUGAAAUGCGAAACGUAGACUUUCCUAUUUCAAAAACAUAAAUCGGAGCAUAAAGUUCUGCAUAUCAUGUGCGGGUAAAUGUACCAGUCGGGAAUGUGCCGCUAGAGGAAUAACAUAUUGGGAAGUCAUCAGGCAGUUUUUAAAGCAAAUAGUCCUCAUAUAACUCAAGUGCUCUCAACCAGGGACUCGAAGAAAUUCAGUUUGUUAAUUGGGACUUGUGAGGUCGGUUUAAUGUGGGCACCGACAUGGGCAUUUUUGUGGGUGAUGUUACCAGUCCCCUCUACAACCCUGUUGUGGAUGCUAGCAGUAGCAUGCAUUAUUGCAGAAUUCAGACCGCUACUGCAUGUGCUCAUUCUCAUCAUGGAGACUCUCACACUCUUCCUACUACUUAGUUGGUAGGGCAUGAUUUCCUCUUCGUGAACUGGUAUUGAUCUUUGCAGAGAAGUUAACCUUUGAAGGUUUUCUGGGUUUAAAGCUGAAAAAUCAGACAAUGCCUUUGUAAUGAUAAUGGAUUUAGAAUUUUGAGUGCAAUGUGAAGUUUGAGUGAAUGUUCCAAGGUUAACUCCAUAAUCACUAAGAUUUCACUGUUAUUCCCUAGAUUUUAAGGUUUAUGUCUUCAGGAAC